UACGUAGGGGGCAAGCGUUUGUCCGGAUUUAUUGGGCGUAAAGAGCGUGUAGGCGGCCUGAAAGGUCAGCUGUGAAAACUCGAGGCUCAACCUCGAGACGUCGGUUGAAACCAUCUGGCUAGAGUCCGGAAGAGGAGUGUGGAAUUCCCGGUGUAGCGGUGAAAUGCGCAGAUAUCAGGAGGAACACCGGUGGCGAAGGCGGGUCUCUGGGCCGAUACUGACGCUGGAGGAGCGAAAGCGUGGGGAGCGAACAGG
rnacentral:rRNA from 1 species